rnacentral:rRNA from 1 species
UGCAGUCGAGCGGACAGAAGGGAGCUUGCUCCCGGAUGUUAGCGGCGGACGGGUGAGUAACACGUGGGUAACCUGCCUGUAAGACUGGGAUAACUCCGGGAAACCGGAGCUAAUACCGGAUAGUUCCUUGAACCGCAUGGUUCAAGGAUGAAAGACGGUUUCGGCUGUCACUUACAGAUGGACCCGCGGCGCAUUAGCUAGUUGGUGGGGUAAUGGCUCACCAAGGCGACGAUGCGUAGCCGACCUGAGAGGGUGAUCGGCCACACUGGGACUGAGACACGGCCCAGACUCCUACGGGAGGCAGCAGUAGGGAAUCUUCCGCAAUGGACGAAAGUCUGACGGAGCAACGCCGCGUGAGUGAUGAAGGUUUUCGGAUCGUAAAGCUCUGUUGUUAGGGAAGAACAAGUGCGAGAGUAACUGCUCGCACCUUGACGGUACCUAACCAGAAAGCCACGGCUAACUACGUGCCAGCAGCCGCGGUAAUACGUAGGUGGCAAGCGUUGUCCGGAAUUAUUGGGCGUAAAGGGCUCGCAGGCGGUUUCUUAAGUCUGAUGUGAAAGCCCCCGGCUCAACCGGGGAGGGUCAUUGGAAACUGGGAAACUUGAGUGCAGAAGAGGAGAGUGGAAUUCCACGUGUAGCGGUGAAAUGCGUAGAGAUGUGGAGGAACACCAGUGGCGAAAGGCGACUCUCUGGUCUGUAACUGACGCUGAGGAGCGAAAGCGUGGGGAGCGAACAGGAUUAGAUACCCUGGUAGUCCACGCCGUACACGAUGAGUGCUAAGUGUUAGGGGGGUUUCCGCCCCAU